CGCGUAGGGUGCGAGCGUUGUCCGGAAUUAUUGGGCGUAAAGAGCUCGUAGGCGGUGUGUCGCGUCGGCCGUGAAAACCUGCAGCUUAACUGUGGGCGUGCGGUCGAUACGGGCAUCACUGGAGUUCGGCAGGGGAGACUGGAAUUCCUGGUGUAGCGGUGAAAUGCGCAGAUAUCAGGAGGAACACCGGUGGCGAAGGCGGGUCUCUGGGCCGAUACUGACGCUGAGGAGCGAAAGCGUGGGGAGCGAACAGG
rnacentral:rRNA from 1 species